rnacentral:rRNA from 1 species
GAUGAACGCUGGCGGCGUGCCUAAUACAUGCAAGUAGAACGCUGAAGGAGGAGCUUGCUCUUCUGGAUGAGUUGCGAACGGGUGAGUAACGCGUAGGUAACCUGCCUGGUAGCGGGGGAUAACUAUUGGAAACGAUAGCUAAUACCGCAUGACAACAGUUAUUGCAUGAUAACUGUUUAAAAGGGGCAACUGCUCCACUACCAGAUGGACCUGCGUUGUAUUAGCUAGUUGGUGAGGUAACGGCUCACCAAGGCGACGAUACAUAGCCGACCUGAGAGGGUGAUCCGGCAAACUGGGAAUGGAGAACGGCCCCGAAUCCUACGGGGAGCAGCAGUAGGGGAACUUCGGCAAAUGACGGAAGGCUGAACGAGCAAAGCCGGGGGAGUGAAGAAGGGUUUCGGAUCGGAAAGCUCUGUUGUAAGAGAAGGACGAGUGUGAGAGUGGAAAGUUCACACUGUGACGGUAUCUUACCAGAAAGGGACGGCUAACUACGUG